rnacentral:rRNA from 1 species
GCUGGCGGCGCGCAUAACACAUGCAAGUCGAGCGAGGGCUUAUUUCCCGCAAGGGAGAUGAGUUCCUAGCGGCGAACGGGUGAGUAACACGUGGGCAACCUUUCCUAUCGCGGGGGAUAACACCGGGAAACCGAUGCUAAUACCGCAUGUCGUCACCGGUCGCAUGGCCGGUGAAGAAAGCAGCAAUGCACGAUGGGGUGGGCCCGCGGCCUAUCAGCUAGUCGGUGGGGUAACGGCCUACCGAGGCGAUGACGGGUAGCUGGUCUGAGAGGACGGCCAGCCACACGGGGACUGAGACACGGCCCCGACUCCUACGGGAGGCAGCAGUGAGGAAUCUUCCGCAAUGGGCGAAAGCCUGACGGAGCGACGCCGCGUGUGGGAUGAAGUCUUUCGGGAUGUAAACCACUGUCGGAGGGGAAGACAUCGACGGUACCCUCCAAGAAAGCCCCGGCUAACUACGUGCCAGCAGCCGCGGUAAUACGUAGGGGGCAAGCGUUAUCCAGAUUUACUGGGCGUAAAGCGCGUGUAGGCGGCUGGUUAAGUGUGAUGUGAAAUCUU